CUGAUGCUGCAGGUUUGCUACUCCGUGAAUUAGAACUCCACCCUCCAUCCGAAGAAUGGCACAGACGAAAUAUGUUCGGUGGGCCCUGGUCAGAUCCUGAGGAUUUCGGUCCUGACCCUUCUUCUCCCAAUUCGGGAGAUGGGUACCUUGGUUCCGGAAGUCUGGACUUCUGGCCAAGGAAACGGAGGUCAUCUGAGCGAGAUGCAGCAUUUGGCUUGAAG
rnacentral:misc_RNA from 1 species